AAGGUUGAUGAAACGCACUGGGCACCGAGCCUUUUGGCUUUCAUGAGAGAUACUCGGCCUAGAUAGCCUUUUCUGACUU